AUUUCCCGGCGACCGCACAGCAGAAAAUGGAAGGAUUUCGUUUGCAACCGGUCGAUAGACGAUGCCGGGAAAUCGCACGACCGUGGUGGCUUCGCUGGUCAGUGUCAAUCCGCGUCCAAUCGCNNNNNNNNNNNNNGUCCAACAUAUUGCAGAUGGAUAUCGGGAUGAUGGCCGAGACCGGCCAGCCGUUGCACCAGAUAGUCGCGGAUCUCCUGCCCAGGUGCACCGUCACUGACGAUAAAGGAUUCGUGGGCGAGAUCGGGCCAAUCGAGCCUGCUUUU
rnacentral:misc_RNA from 1 species